UACGUAGGUGGCAAGCGUUGUCCGGAUUUACUGGGCGUAAAGAGCGCGCAGGCGGUCGAGUAAGUCGAAUGUGAAAGCCCCCGGCUUAACUGGGGAGGGUCAUUCGAUACUGUUCGACUUGAAGGCAGGAGAGGGCAGCAGAAUUCCCGGUGUAGUGGUGAAAUGCGUAGAUAUCGGGAGGAAUACCAGUGGCGAAGGCGGCAUUCUGGACCGAUAUUGACGCUGAGGAGCGAAAGCCAGGGGAGCAAACGGG
rnacentral:rRNA from 1 species